AUGAUCCAUUGGAACUUAUGCAUCAAGUACCACCUGCCAGCAGCAAAGAACUGGUGGGAUCACAAACCAGCAAAGGUCGUGGAAAAUGAACACGCAAAGAUACUGUGGGACUUCCGAAUCCAGACUGACAAAGUUCUGGAACACAACUGUGAUGUCUGGUGUGUUGUGUUCCAGAACUUUGUCAGUCUGGAUUCGGAAGUCCCACAGUAUCUUUGCGUGCUCAUUUUCUAAUACUUUUGCAGGUUUGUGAUCCCACCAGUUAUAUUAUUAUUAUUAUUAUUAUUAUUAUUAUUAUUAUUAUUAUUAUUAUUAUUAUUAUUCUA
rnacentral:lncRNA from 1 species